AAUUUGUGUAAUUCAGGACAAAUUCACGCCUACUAACAUGUUUUCUGACCGUAGGUACAUCUAAAUACGCUUGAUUCUUGCACUUCUUACACAGGCACCUAAUGUUACCUUGUCCAUCUGUGUACGCCGUUUGAUUUCUCGCCCACUCAAGGAAACUCUCAAGCCCCGUUUCAAAUGCAGUACGAUCAUUGUAUCUCGCGUACAUCCACAUACGAUUAUCACUCAUUCUUGCAAAUUCUAAUUGAAAAAAAUAAAUAAAAUAUAAUAAAUAACUUGAAAUCUAACAAAAUUUCGACAGCAUAACCCCACUAUCCUAACUACCAAGUGCUC
rnacentral:lncRNA from 1 species